AUUGAACGCUGGCGGCAUGCCUUACACAUGCAAGUCGAACGGUAACAGGUCUUCGGAUGCUGACGAGUGGCGAACGGGUGAGUAAUGCAUCGGAACGUGCCCAGUAGUGGGGGAUAGCCCGGCGAAAGCCGGAUUAAUACCGCAUACGACCUGAGGGUGAAAGGGGGGAUCGCAAGACCUCUCGCUAUUGGAGCGGCCGAUGUCAGAUUAGCUAGUUGGUGGGGUAAAGGCCUACCAAGGCAACGAUCUGUAGUUGGUCUGAGAGGACGACCAGCCACACUGGGACUGAGACACGGCCCAGACUCCUACGGGAGGCAGCAGUGGGGAAUUUUGGACAAUGGGCGCAAGCCUGAUCCAGCAAUGCCGCGUGCAGGAAGAAGGCCUUCGGGUUGUAAACUGCUUUUGUCAGGGAAGAAAUCUUCUGGGUUAAUACCUCGGGAGGAUGACGGUACCUGAAGAAUAAGCACCGGCCAACUACGUGCCAGCCGCCGCGGUAACAC
rnacentral:rRNA from 1 species